rnacentral:rRNA from 1 species
GGUUCGAUCCUGGCUCAGAUUGAACGCUGGCGGGAUGCUUUACACAUGCAAGUCGAACGGCAGCACGGACUUCGGUCUGGUGGCGAGUGGCGAACGGGUGAGUAAUGUAUCGAACGCUCAGUAGCGGGGAUAACGAUGCGAAAGAGCUGACACCACACACCCUUCGGGGAAAGCGGGGGACCUUCGGGCCUCGCACUAUUAGAGCGGCCGAUAUCGGAUUGAGCCAGUUGCGGGGUAACGGCUCACCAAGGCGACGAUCCGUAGCUGGUUUGAGAGGACGACCAGCCACACUGGGACUGAGACACGGCCCAGACUCCUACGGAGGCAGCAGCGGGAAUUUUUGGACAAUGGGGAAACUCCUGAUCCAGCCAUCCUGCGUGCGAUGAAGGCCUUCGGGUUGUAAAGCACUUUUGGCAGGAAAGAAACGGCACGGGAUAACAUCGCAACUGACGGUACCUGCAGAAUAAGCACCGGCUAACUACGUGCCAGCAGCCGUAAUACGUAGGGUGCAAGCGUUAAUCGGAAUUACUGGGCGUAUGCAGUGGUAUGUCUGGAAAGAAAGAUGAAAUCCCCAGAGCUUGAAUUUGGAACUGCAUUUUUAACUACCGAGCUAGAGUGUGUCAGAGGGAGGUGGAAUUCGGCGUGUAGCAGUGAAAUGCGUAGAUAUGCGGAGGAACACCGAUGGCGAAGGCAGCCUCCCGAUAACACUGACGCUCGCACGAAAGCGGGGAGCGUGCCAGAUUAGAUAAUUCGGUAGUCCACGCCCUAAACGAUGUCAACUAGCUGUUGGGGCCUUCGGGCCUUAGUGAAGUGCAGCUAACGCGUGGUUGACCGCCUGGGGAGUACGGUCGCAAGAUUAAAACUCAAAGGAAUUGACGGGACCCGCACAAGCGGUGGAUGAUGUGGAUUAAUUCGAUGCAACGCGAAAAACCUUACCUACCCUUGACAUGUCUGGAAUCCCGAAGAGAUUUGGGAGUGCUCGCAAGAGAACCGGAACACAGGUGCUGCAUGGCUGUCGUCAGCUCGUGUCGUGAGAUGUUGGGUUAAGUCCCGCAACGAGCGCAACCUUGUCAUUAGUUGCUACGAAAGGGCACUCUAAUGAGACUGCCGGUGACAAACCGAGGAAGGUGGGGAUGACGUCAAGUCCUCAUGGCCCUUAUGGGGGCUUCACACUGUCAUAACAAUGGUCGGGAGCAGAGGGUCGCCAACCCGGCGAGGGGGAGCCAAUCCCAGAAACCUGAUCGAACCGGAUCGCAGUCUGCAACUCGACUGCGUGAAGUCGAUCGCUAGUAAUCGCGGAUCAGCAUGUCGCGGUGAAUACGUUCCCGGGUCUUGUACACACUGCCCGUCACACCAUGGGAGUGGGUUUUACCAGAAGUAGUUAGCCUAACCGUAAGGAGGGCGAUUACCACGGUAGGAUUCAUGACUGGGGUGAAGUCGUAACAAGGUAG